rnacentral:rRNA from 1 species
AUUCCGGUUGAUCCUGCCGGAGGCCAUUGCUAUCGGUGUCCGAUUUAGCCAUGCGAGUUGUACGUUUACCGUAGCAAACUGCUCAGUAACACGUGGCCAAACUGCCCUAUGGACCGGAAUAACCUCGGGAAACUGAGGCUAAUUCCGGAUACCACAUUCAUCCUGGAAUUGGAGAAUGUGCGAAAUGCUCCGGCGCCAUAGGAUGUGGCUGCGGCCGAUUAGGUAGACGGUGGGGUAACGGCCCACCGUGCCGAUAAUCGGUACGGGUCAUGAGAGUGAGAGCCCGGAGACGGACUCUGAGACACGAGUCCGGGCCCUACGGGGCGCAGCAGGCGCGAAACCUUUACACUGCACGACAGUGCGAUAGGGGGACACCGAGUCCGAGGGCAUAGAGCCCUCGCUUUUCUGAACCGUAAGGAGGUUCAGGAACAAGGGCUGGGCAAGACCGGUGCCAGCCGCCGCGGUAACACCGGCAGCCCAAGUGAUGGCCGAUAUUAUUGGGCCUAAAGCGUCCGUAGCUGGCCGUGCAAGUUCGUCGGGAAAUCCACUCGCUUAACGAGUGGGCGUCCGGCGAAAACUGCUCGGCUUGGGACCGGAAGAUCCAAGGGGUACGUCCGGGGUAGGAGUGAAAUCCCGUAAUCCUGGACGGACCACCGAUGGCGAAAGCACCUUGGAAGGACGGAUCCGACAGUGAGGGACGAAAGCUAGGGUCUCGAACCGGAUUAGAUACCCGGGUAGUCCUAUCCGUAA